rnacentral:rRNA from 1 species
GUUCAGAGUACGUGAAACCGUUCAGGGGUAAACCUGAGAAACCCAAAAGAUCGAAUGGGGAGAUUCAUCGUCAGCGCAUUUUGUAUAUGUAUAAGUUAUGAUGUGGGUUACUCUUGUAGUAUUGCCUGUACAUUCUUGUACAUUUUGUUGCAAGAUGUUGUCGGCGUGCACUUCUCCCCUAGUAGAACGUCGCGACCCGUUGGGUGUCGGUCUACGGCUCAAAUGGUAGCCUUUGAUGUUUUAAUACAUUAAAGACCUUUGGUGUUUCCUGACCGACUGCUCGGCGGUAUUCGUACGGUAUUAAGCCGCAUAAUAUAAUAUGCGUCCAUGCCCGUCGCAAGCGAGGUUAAUUUUUGGUAGUACGGACCUAGUGCCGUCGCUGAAAUUAACCAGCUGUUGGUUGUACGGUGUUCUAGGACUGGCUAAAAAAAAUAUUACCGGUCGGCGAUGCUACUGCUUUGGGUACUUUCAGGACCCGUCUUGAAACACGGACCAAGGAGUCUAACAUGUGCGCGAGUCAUUGGGAUUUUUUAAAAAUUAAACCUAAAGGUACUCUUGUAGUAUUUGGUAGCGUUGGUUGUAUUUUUUAAAAAUU